rnacentral:lncRNA from 1 species
UUGUUGUUCCAGGAAAUAUCUUUACAAGGCCAUGUAGUUGAACUGCAAUAUCAGAAUCAACUUCACCUUGUGUAGCUUGGAGUUUAACAAUGUUCUCUUCUUCAAGAACAUCUUCAUCAUCUGGUAUAAUACUAUCCAGAGGCCGUAGCUUGGCGUUUAACAAUGUUCUCUUCUUCAAGAACAUCUUCAUCAUCUGGUAUAAUACUAUCUAGGGGUGGCACUGAACCUGUGCAGCUACAAAUACCCCCCUCUGAACACAAAAACAACACCCUUAAAGUUUUGUCACAGCAUGAUCGUUAUUAAGGUACUAAUGAAAUUUUGCUUUACCUUU